GACGAACGCUGGCGGCGUGCUUAACACAUGCAAGUCGAACGGUAAGGCCCUUCGGGGUACACGAGUGGCGAACGGGUGAGUAACACGUGGGUGAUCUGCCCUGCACUUCGGGAUAAGCCUGGGAAACUGGGUCUAAUACCGGAUAGGACCACUGCCUGCAUGGGUGGUGGUGGAAAGCUUUUGCGGUGUGGGAUGGGCCCGCGGCCUAUCAGGUUGUUGGUGGGGUGAUGGCCUACCAAGGCGACGACGGGUAGCCGGCCUGAGAGGGUGACCGGCCACACUGGGACUGAGAUACGGCCCAGACUCCUACGGGAGGCAGCAGUGGGGAAUAUUGCACAAUGGGCGCAAGCCUGAUGCAGCGACGCCGCGCGAGGGAUGACGGCCUUCGGGUUGUAAACCUCUUUCAGCACCGACGAAGCGCAAGUGACGGUAGGUGCAGAAGAAGGACCGGCCAACUACGUGCCAGCCGCCGCGGUAAAAC
rnacentral:rRNA from 1 species